AUCACUAUGGCAGCUUUGACCUCAGUGAGACUGGAUCACACCAGACGUAGGGAGAGCCUUCAGUCUGUGGUGGGACGCCGCUCUCCUCAAGGUUCCCACCAGGAAGGACUCUGUUGAGUGGAUUCCUCAUCGCCUUCCUCUCCUGGAACUUUGUGAGAGAACCAACCUGACCCUCAGGGCAGCUCCGCUCUUUGGUCACUUUCAAGAAGGCACAGGGCCUCAAAAGCCAGGUAGUCAUGGUGACACAUGUGCCUCCCACAGUGCAGAUGUGGUCUGCCAUGGCUACCACAGCCAGCUGUGUGGGACCAGGGCCUCUCCCUUCUCCCAGGUGCUGUCUUCAGACAAUGCUCAGCAAAUGCUCACAAGUAGAGCACAGAUGCUGCACCCAGCCAGGCUUGGGUAUUGUGUGGGAGGACGAGACCUGGAUCAUGGGUGUGUAGCACUCCAAGGUCAUCAAGGUCAGCUUCUAGGUGACAUUCAGAACAUGACUGAUCCUAUUGUCUUCAUUCUAGUGACUUAUCUUCCUGGGACCACUCUGAGCCUUGGAGUUGUACCAUGAGUAGACUAUGUCUGUCUUCUUUUAGUCAGAGUGGGGUUGUACCUGUGGCUUUCUUUGCCCCCUUUUCACUGAUGUAUAAUAUUUCAUGGCAAGGCGUGUCCUGGUGUAUUUAUCCAUUCUAUUGUGGAUGGAGGUUUGGAUGAGGCCACAGGAACUCUCAAACCCUUGCCUUUUGCUGAACAUACCUCCCUCCCAAGGUCAGGAACAGACCUAGCUGUGGAAUGUCUGGCUCCCAAAUGGUUAACUCUGCCUAGCUUUGUUAUGUUCUGUGGACUGCAGUCUUCCAAAGCUGCUUCUGAAGUCCCGCCACCAUGCUGCUUGAAGCCCUGCCACCCAGGCUGGCCCCACACAGCUUUGAAAGGACAGCAUUCUUGGCAGCUUGUAAAGCCUCAGAGCUGUGGUAACACCGACUGUGCUUUCAGGGGAUGAAAGACGCCUGUGGGAGACAGCCCUGGGUCAGCGAUGAGCCCAUCCUCCAGGCUGGGCCUUGGCCUCGGCACCACCCACCUACCUCCAUUCUGGUUCUUAGUCCUUGAAGUAAGAGUCACCUGUAUCUGUCACAUGACUACCUCACAGAAGCAGCUCAGGGAAGGAAGGAUUUGGCUCACAUCCAUCAUGCUGGGGAAGGAAGGCUUGGUAGACACGAUGCUAGAACAGAGGGAAGGUGGGACCAACACCAGUGAGGAGAAUGGGGAAAUGGAGAGCACAUCCACCCGGCUGCAGAGCGGACCCCGAGGCACACCUAGGAGUUUGAAGCCAUCGUUCGUAGAGCCAGGACGCAAAGCAAGCAGGGAAAUCUACAAAGCAGCCAUCUUGGUCGGGGAGGCUACCUUUCCGGAGCCAACAUUUCUGAGCCCUGCUGGUAUUUGUGCGAGUGCGUGCAUGAGUGUGUGCACAGGCAUGUUCAGGUGUGUUGUAGCACACGAGCAGAGGUGACAGGACAGCCUCAGGUGUCCCUCCUUGCCUUCCACCUUGUUCGAAACAGUCUCUUGCUUUGUGGACCAGGCUGAAUGACCCACGAGCAUCCAGCAAUUCUCCUGUCUCUGCACACUCUCCCCCAAUAGGGGUACACUGGGAUGACAAACAAGUAUUUGCUUUUGUUUGUGG
rnacentral:sRNA from 1 species